rnacentral:lncRNA from 13 species
CGCGGAGUCGUCCUCUGGUUCCACAAGAGGGUUUGACCCGGGUCGUGGCCCCCUCCUGCGGUGUCUGCGACCCGGCGCGCUGCUGCCUGGCUCUGGGGUGGGGCCGGGCCCCCGGGGAAGCCGCCUUGUAGGCGGGGCUGGACGGCUCAGGGCCCGGGAGCACGUCUGGUCCGCGCAGGGCCGUGUGCGGAGGCGUCCUGCGCUGCCCUGACCUGGGGCUGGGAGGACUGGGCGACGGCGGGAAUGACGGCGCCCCCAGGCUCCAGGAGGGCCCGGAGGGGUAGGGGCCGCCGACGCCGCGCGGACUCGGGCGACAGGGAGCCGAAGUGGGAGACGGCCCCGGAGAGCGAGCAGGCCCUGCAGCCGCCCCAGGGCCCCCCAGUGAAGGAAGGGCACCUGCGAUAUUGUCACUGCGCCUCGUCCGUACAAGCUGGCCCGUCAUUGGCCGCAGGCCUCCAGGGCCCACGUCCCCGCCGCGGGAGAGAGAGCCGCCUUUACCCGGACAUCUGGACCAGCAAAGGCCACCAGGAGAUGUGAGGCGGGUCCACAUGUUUAACCAUUGAGAUAAGGCUCACACCAUCAUUCCAGCCUCAGAUCUCUUGUGCCGAGAGUUCCAGACCAGCCUGUGUGGCAUGGCUGGCAACAUGGCCUCCACAAAAAUAAAUACAGCAAAAAAUUGUAAAAUAAAAACA